UACGUAGGAGGCAAGCGUUGUCCGGAAUUACUGGGCGUAAAGCGCGUGUAGGUGGUGGGACAAGUCUGCUGUGAAAGCGCCUGGCUUAACCGGGCGAGGUCGGCGGAAACUGUCCGACUCGAGGACGGUAGAGGGGGGUGGAAUUCCCGGUGUAGUGGUGAAAUGCGUAGAGAUCGGGAGGAACACCUGUGGCGAAGGCGGCCCCCUGGGCCGGCCCUGACACUGAGACGCGAAAGCGUGGGGAGCAAACAGG
rnacentral:rRNA from 1 species